AAAAUCUGUCAAACGAAAACACAGUUUUUGCUGAAAACCCUUUGAAAACUUACAUUCCACUCAUUAUAAUCGGCGCUUUGGCUUUUAGAGAGGUGAGUUCUUCUUUUUAUAAAUAUGUUGUAAAACUAAUUAUAUUUAUAUUGUAAGAAUAAUUUGUUUAACUUUAUACAUCGAAAAACGCGACACAAAACCGAUCAGUAAGGUACGCAUUGUGGUAUGCGUUUUGUUUUUAUAACCAAAACUUUUAGUGUUACAGAAAACUUGCAGCAUUGCGGAAAAAUUGCAUUCCUAGAAUAAAACAAAUUCAGAUAGAUAAAAAUGCAAUUUAAACAUAAUUAUGCUGGAGGUUCAAGACGACACAUGGAUUUUGAUUGGUAUUGGUAUACCAUCGUUUGUUGGAGAGAUUUUGCCUCAUUUUUACUCAUAAUUUGUAAACGUUACAAAGAACGAUUUGUGGAGCAUCGACAGAUUCUAUUGCAAGAUUUUGUAUAUUGGGCUUGUCGUCAUCCGGUACUGUGACAAUGCGAAGUGUGGCAUCAUUUUU